UUGACGGGGGCCCGCACAAGCAGCGGAGCGUGUGGUUUAAUUCGUUGCUACACGAAGAACCUUACCUGGGUUUGACAUAUAGGUUGUAGGGAACUGAAAAGGGACCGACCCUUCGGGGAGCCUAUACAGGUGUUGCAUGGCUGUCGUCAGCUCGUGUCGUGAGAUGUUCGGUUAAGUCCGCUAACGAGCGCAACCCUCGUCGUAUGUUAUAUGUGUCAUACGAGACUGCCGGUAAAAAGCCGGAGGAAGGUGAGGAUGAUGUCAAGUCAGCAUGACCUUUAUAUCCAGGGCUACACACACGCUACAAUGGUCUGUACAAUGGGUAGCCAAGCCGCGAGGCGGAGCCAAUCCUGAAAGCAGGCCUCAGUUCAGAUUGCAGUCUGCAACUCAACUGCAUGAAGCCGGAGUUGCUAGUAACCGCAGGUCAGCAAUACUGCGGUGAAUACGUUCCCGGGUCUU
rnacentral:rRNA from 1 species